rnacentral:rRNA from 1 species
UGGGGAAUUUUGGACAAUGGGCGAAAGCCUGAUCCAGCAAUGCCGCGUGUGUGAAGAAGGCCUUCGGGUUGUAAAGCACUUUUGUCCGGAAAGAAAUCCUUGGCUCUAAUACAGUCGGGGGAUGACGGUACCGGAAGAAUAAGCACCGGCUAACUACGUGCCAGCAGCCGCGGUAAUACGUAGGGUGCAAGCGUUAAUCGGAAUUACUGGGCGUAAAGCGUGCGCAGGCGGUUUGCUAAGACCGAUGUGAAAUCCCCGGGCUCAACCUGGGAACUGCAUUGGUGACUGGCAGGCUAGAGUAUGGCAGAGGGGGGUAGAAUUCCACGUGUAGCAGUGAAAUGCGUAGAGAUGUGGAGGAAUACCGAUGGCGAAGGCAGCCCCCUGGGCCAAAUACUGACGCUCAUGCGCGAAAGCGUGGGGAGCAAACAGGAUUAGAUACCCUGGUAGUCCACGCCCUAAACGAUGUCAACUAGUUGUUGGGGAUUCAUUUCCUUAGUAACGUAGCUAACGCGUGAAGUUGACCGCCUGGGGAGUACGGUCGCAAGAUUAAAACUUAAAUGAAUUGACGGGGUCAUAGCUGUUUCCU